UGCACGGGCGUUUGGACGCCGUGGACGGCGCGAGCCAGAGCCGUGGCUCGACUUGUCGCCGGCGUCCUGAUCCGUGGAUCAGCUCCGGUGCAUUCCGGUAAACGACGGUAGAGGCUGCAGUAAAUGCUCGAUCCGGGUCGCUCCGAGCACCUGUCUCCUACCUCCAGACCUAGGUCAUCCAUUGUUGGGAGCGGCGACCGCGGUGGACAAAUCUGGUGCGGCAAGGCGACUUGGGGUGAGGCAACCAUGGAGUUCUUGAUGCAGCCGAUAAAUAGCAGAACUCUCCUAGAAGAGGUGGACGAGAACAACACUUGGAUCCUGUUCAUUAUCCUGUAAGCACGCCGCCCGUAGUACAGCUGCCAGCCAGGUCCGCGUCGAGUGCUAACAGCAAGAUUUGUGCUAAAAUGCUGUUCCAGCGGCAGGCAGUGCAGACAAAGAACAAACUUCAGAGCACUCCAUCGAGCAGGUUGACCUAAAAAAACCUGGAUGAUGCAAAGAGUGUGGGUUGGGGCUGCUGCGCUUGGCAGGGCGCCGUGUGCUAAUAGAGUUUUCGCACUACGGAAAACUGUCCAGCAAUUUGCUGAAGAGCCUGGUGACGUUGUCACUGUGCCUAAACUAGGAACAAGUUUUGACACACUUGGUGAGGCUUAUGAUUUCUACAACUUAUACUCAUGGAGAAAGGCUUUGGUAUCGGAUAUGGAAAAGGCAUGCUGAACGUAAACCGGACAAAAUGCAUGCAGGAGAUUACAUGUGGCUGUGCGGGCAAACCAAUAACAUUGUGGAGCAUCCAGAUGAGCACAAUCAUUCAUUGUCCGCGACCUAUGGAUAGACUAUACACUGGCCAUCCCACAAGCAUAUUGACAUGUACAACACAGACCUUGUGAAGCCAUUGCGACAGAACAACGUCAAUCUCGCGAAGGUCUACAACAUAAUUGGGAGCUUCUUUGGUAGGAUGGAGAAUGUACCAUUCACGAAGAGAGCAUUACAUAAUCUGUGUGAUAAAUUUAGCCGUGAACAAGCAGAAGAUGAUGUCAGGAAAACAAUGGAGGUGUUUUAGGAGCUCUUAUCAAAGGAUUCACAAUUCACCUAUCGAGUUCAGGCUAACAAAGAAGGGAGGAUUAGCACUCUAAUGUGGGCUACUGGAAACAGCAGAUUCCAUUAUACCUUUUUUGGGGUUGUUGUGACAUUCGAUACGACAUUGACUAAUCCGUACGACAUGUCAUUUGGUCUUUUUGUGGGUGUUAACAAUCAUUUCCAGAGCAUUGUACUAGCUGGGGUGCUGAUUCGUGAUGAGAAGGUUGAAACAUUCGAAUGGGUUUUUGCAGAAUUCAUUAGGAUAAUGGGUGGAACUGCACCGCAAAACCAUCCUUACAGGUAAUAUAUUCUGAAUUACUACUGAAUCAUAUAAGAAGGGGAGCCUUGGCGCAGUGGUAAAGCUGCUGCCUUGUGACCAUGAGGUCAUGGGUUCAAGUCCUGGAAACAGCCUCUUACAGAAAUGUAGGGAAAGGCUGCGUACUAUAGACCCAAAGUGGUCGGACCCUUCCCUGGACCCUGCGCAAGCGGGAGCUACAUGCACCAGAUCAAAAUUGAGCGAUGGAAGUAGCAAUACAAAAUGUCAUGCCUGACACAGCUCAGUGGUGGUGCAAGUGGCAUGUGCUGAAGAAGGCCAAAGAGUCUUUGGGUCCUCUGUACUCCAAGAAGAGUGACUUCCACCCUGAGUUUCACAAGGUUGUUAAUCAUAUGCUAACAAGUAACAAUAGAUGAAUUUGAAGGAGCAUGGAAGUAUUUAGUAGAGAAGCACAACCUGAAGAAUCACACAUACAUGACACAAUUGUAUGAAAUCCGUCACAAAUGGGCGAAGCCUUAUUUCAAAGGUAUAUUCUGUGCAAAGAUGACAAGUACGCAGCGGAGUGAAAGUACAAACCAAAUGUUGAAGAAUUAUGUCCCUCCUGGAUGCCCCAUGCAUAUGUUUGUCAGGAAGUACAUGAGAUUGCUCUUUUGACAGAGAAUCUGAAGAAAAUUACAAGGAGAAACGGACCAGAAUUGGGAGGCCACUUCUGCGUGCAAACAUGGCAACUGAACGGCAUGCUGGGAAGAUAUACACAAGAGCUAUCUUUGAGCAGUUUGGGCAUAUACUAUAUGAGUGCGGUGCAUACCAGGUGGAGGAGAUCGAGAAAGGAAAAUCAUAUGUCGCAAUACAUACUGAAGCGGAUCGCAGGGAGAAGUGGUGUAGGACUUCAUACAAAUUUACAGUGUUAGAUGGUGGAGAUGAAUUUGAUUAUGAAUGCAGUCAGUUUGCACACAUGGGUUUGCCUGGCAGCCAUGUGUUAAAGAUAAUAUCAGCAGAUCAUAUUCAUGCAUAACAUUUGAAAGAAAAAAGCAGACUUGUAAUCAGUAGAUGGUUGUUGACUCUUUUUAUGCAGGUCCUGGACUUUAUAUGCGUUACUGAAAUCCCUAAGAAGCAUAUAGUAAAACGAUGGGCACAAGAUCCACGUGAUAUCCUCCCGCCGCACCUGACACUGCUGGAGGGACCAUGCUCAAGAGAACCCAUUCAGUUUCAGGCAUUUUAAUUAAUAUGUGUACGCACGCAAUGGAGCUUGUGCGGAUGGGAGACAGCAACGUAGAAGCAUAUGAGCAUCUGAUAAAACUGUUCAGCUGAGAUGAAGCCAUUCAUUUAGAUGAGAGACGGGUUGGGAUUGGAGGACCGAUUGGCCGAAAAUGGAGGUGUUUUGAAUCAGGUUCAGUGAGAAGGAGUUGUCGUAGCUGCGGCAGUAGGGACACAUGUUGACAUGGAUAACGACAAGAAUAGUUCAGUAAAUGAGUCUGGGAAUAUGCUGGAAGCGUUAUUACCUCCGGCUAAGCGCAAGGAGAUGGGUAGGCCUACCACAAGUAGGGAGAAGGCACCGUACGAAGGAUUGAGUAAACGAACCAGAUUCUGCAGCAUUUGUUGAUGACAAGGACACAAGCGAGUCUCAUCAUGGAGAUGUACCUAAACAACCUCGGAAGCCUGCGAGAUGCAAGAAUUGUGGUGUGGAAGGUCACCGUCGGAACAAUUGUCAUAAGGUGGUUGAGCUUAGACUUAUGUAAUUGUGUGCACUUUCAGUGAAGGCAACAGACAUAACUUUGCGACAGUAUCCAGGAUGCUUGUGUACAAAGAUGGCAUGAUGACCAGAUUCUUAAAUCAUCCUGAUGUGUUUUAUGUUGAACUCAAGAAGUGUGAAUAAGCAACAAAGCUUCUGAAGAGAUCAGUGCAUCAUCUCUUAUGCAACUGCUACUGCAGUUGACUCCUUUCCAAGCACUGUUCCACUCCAUGAGAAGCUGAAAUAAACUGAGAAUGGGGCAAACAAAUUCCAACGCUUCCUGCUCGUAGGCGGUGCCCGCUAUGAUUCUACCGCAGCGGCGCAGGCGGAGUCGACAUCAACCACGACCUUCCACCGCCGCCCCUGCGGGUAAAGCCGGAGGCUGAGGAGGCGGAGGCAGUCGACAUCAACCACGACCUUCCACCGCCGCCCCUGCGGGUAAAGCCGGAGGCUGAGGAGGCGGAGGCGGAGUACCAAGACGCCCUCGAGGAGGCCCUGCAUCAUGCGCUGGAGGCGAGCCGGCUUGAGGAGGACACCCAUUGGGAUGGGCUGGAGCAAGCCCUAGCUUUGUCCGCGGCGGGGGACUCCGUCUAGGCGCCCUUAUUCGUGCCUCCACUGCCGUCAGCGCGGCCCCUCAUCGGGCCCAAGGCUGAGACGGAGCCGGAGCGCGAGCCAACUCCCACGCGCAAGAGUUCACCGCCGGCCCCCACUUGGCAGAGUCCUAUUCGUGGACCGGCCAGCUCCGCGAGUGGGUGAACGCGUCUCCCUGCCACUACGCCGCCACGACGGAAGAAGAGGCGGCCCACCUUGAGCGCUGGAAGGCGCAUUGGCUCGCCGAGGAGGGGGCCGACGGCGAGCGGCAGAUGCGAUAUGAGAAGAUGAUGCGCCGCAAUGAGGAGGCUCUGCGGCUUGAGGAGGAGGAGGAGCGCGCCCGCCUCGCCGCUAUGCCGCCGUCCCAGCAGACGCUGGAGGAGGCUGCCCUGGCGGUGUAUCAAGCCGCGUUCGGGUGGGCUGGGCCUCCCCCCGUGUUCAUUGACCUCACCGGCGGCGACGACGACGACGGGAAGGGCAAGGGCAAGGCGGUCUACUAGGGCACCGUGCUAGCGUUUAUUAUAGUUUUUAAAUUUGUAAUUAUGUUUAAGUGGACUUUGGCCGGCGUUUGACCGGCCAUUUAUGUAUAAUUAUGCUUAAUUCGUCUGUUUCGGCCACGUUGGUAUAAAUGGGUCGGCCCCCCUUUGAACGCACCUACAUACCUAAAUAAAAAAGCGGUCGCGCACGUCCAUCUGACCGACUCAAACGGACGAAAAACGGACAAAGCGUUCAUCCGUUUGGAUCGGCGCGUUGGAGUUGCUCUAAGUUUGCGG